ensembl:lncRNA
UCCACGGUCGACAGGCUGAUGUCACAUAACAGUUUUUCUGUAAGGGAUAAUGUAUAGUCCGCCGGUCACGGUUACUUGCCAAAACGAUAAAAGACUGAUGGAGAUCAUUUCCAAACACUGUUAAUGACUUAAGAAUAUAAUAAUCAAGUACCUUGUAUUAUUAAUUACCUUAUAUGAAUCAUUAUGUAAGCAGGAACAUGGCUUUUCUGUGUUUCUGCGUGUGUGUAACUUAAAAUAUUAGGUGCCACUUAGUCUGCAUAUCUACAAGAGCAUGUUUAGACCAGAGGUGAUAAGCUUCUUCCGACCUUGUAAAACUUCCAUCCUUGCCUCGGACGUCAGAGAUCCACCACGUGGUUAUCCCUGCUGAAAACUAAACUUCUGUCUAUAUAAACCUUGUGCAAUGUGUUUAUCAUUGCUUCACUUUCAGCCUUGUGCUGGGAGUGAGCCCAAUUGCAAUUGUUGUUUGUCUAAUAAAUAUACUUAUGCAGCUCCGGAGUCCUGAGGUAACUAGGCUGAAUUUUCACCUAACAUAUUUGGGGGCUCAUGACCGGGAUUCCAACAACCUCAUCGACUCUACGCUGGGCUAAUCAUCAGGACCUAAACCGUACGAAGGAGUACGAGACUCCGUUUUUCUAAAGACCUCCAACUUGAAUUGGAAGGAGGCCAGGGCCUGCCAGCGAGGAGAGCCGAGAGUGAAGGAAUUUAAUUGAACUAUAGGGGGUGGACUCUGAGCUGUUUGUGAGUAUAUUGUUGGUUUGUUGUGCCUGCACGCUAGUAUAGUUUUUCUUGGGGAGACGAACUUUUUGCAUGUUUUCUGCGGGGUGUAAAGGGGAACAAAGGUUCAAGGGAAGACUUUUUCCUGGUUGCCUCGUGUGUUGAACGAAUUGCUAGAGUUAGAGAGACUCCUGUCUGUAGUUGUCAUGUUCUUGGAGCGCCCAAGGCUAAAUGUUGUAUAUUCCUGUUCACCUUCCUGUCCCCUGGAAAGGAAAGGUAUAGAAGGAAGGGUACUGUCAUGGCAAAAAGUGACCGGGUGCCAAAAAGAGCCCGGGUGAUGUAAUAUUGGCUUUGAACGACUCUUGAGUGACAGUUGCUAUACCAACGUUAGCAUUACGUCACCCGGGCUCUUUUUGGAAGUCAGACUACCUCAAUAACGUGAUUUACCCCAGAGCAUCUCGCAUUAUACUUCGCUACCUGAGACUAGCUUGCCUGUAUUUUACCUGCAAUAAACCAAGCAAAACAACCAUGUGCUUGAUGUUUGACUGUGUUAGGAAAGUUGUUGACUCACAAGUUUGUUAUAGUGUCAAAGUAAGUACAUUUCAACCGGUUUCGCCGCUAGCAUCUCGUUAGCGAUUAGCAAUUCCUCUUCUAGCUGGGGCACAUUAUUUUGCUUAGUGUAUAGCUAGCAAGCUAGUAUGAAGUCUCCCAAGUCUUUCUAAAUAGGCCUAUAUCAACAAAUAAUGGUAGAUCUUAAAUUAUUUAAGAUGUUAGCAAAUGAACUGGCUGGCUUGCUAAAAAGGCAGAUGAACAAGCACCGUAUAGUAUUUAAGAUGUUAGAAAAUGAACUUGCUGGCUUGCUUAAAAGAUAAAUGAACAAGCACCAUAUAUUAUUUAAGAUGUUAUUAAAUUAACUGGCUAGCUUGCUUAAAAGGUAUAUGAACAAGCACCGUACCGUAUAGUAUUUAAGAUGUGAGCAAAUUAACUGGCUGGCCUGCUAAAAAGGUAGAUGGGGGCGGCAGUGGUACAGGAGGUAAAGAAGUCGUUUAGUAAUCAGAAGGUUGCUAGUUCGAUUCCCUGUCGAAGUAUCCUUGAGCAAGGCACUGAACCCCUAAUUGCUCCUGAUGUGCAGUGUGCCAUCAGUGUAAAUGUAAAAUGUGUAUACAUUGUAAGUUGCUUUGGAUAAAAGCGUCUGCUAAAUGUAAAUGUAAAUGUAGAUGAACAAGCAACGUAUAUUAUUUAAGAUGUUAGCAAAUUAACUGGCUGGCUUGCUAAAAAGGUAGAUAAACAAGCACCGUAUAUCAGUAUAUUUUCUCCUUUUUAUAAAAACGAAUUUCUACUCUAAACAAUUUCAAUUGAAAUGCAAAUGAUGAUGUCAAUGGCUAAAAUGGAACACUUUAUUUACCGGGUAAAAAUUAGUUUAGCCACAAUAUAUAGCGAUUCAAAAAGUAGUAUUGACUGCAAAUGUUGAUGUACAGGAUACCGGCAGGUGUAGCUAAAACGGAAUACUUAGUAGUUUUAGGCACAAUAUUAAGUGACUAACAAGUAGCUAAUGGCUUUCGAACGACUCUUGAGACUGACCAAAAAGUGCCCGGGUUACGUAGUGUUAGUGGUAUAGCAACUGUCACUCAAGAGUCGUUUGAAAGCCAAUAUUACAUCACCCGGGCUCUUUUUGGCACCCGGUCACUUUUUGCCAUGACAGUACCGUUCGUUUUUGGAACGCUAAAUGUUAUAAGCAAAGAAAGCCUGUUGCCAAAAAAGAGGGUUAGCGCGCGCUAAAAGUAUAAGCACUGUUCACCUUCCUGUCGCCUGAAGGUAGAGACGGAAGGGUACCGUUCGUUUAGGGAACGCUAAAGGUUAUAUGCGAGAGCGCUGUUCACCUUAAAAGGAAGGUGUCAUCUGAAGUUGAAACUCUAUAGGCCUAUUUCUCCGGAUAUUUCUGUAUAUAUUCCUGUUCGCCUUGUAUGAAGGGAACAAACUUUUCAAUUUCUAUUUUCCUGUGGGGUCCCCUGGUAGGCCUCUGGGUGCAUUAGCAAAAAGGCUAUAGGAAAAGGGGUAUAGUCCGCUAGGAAUAGAUUAUUCCUGAGGGAGACGAGUCUCCUUAAGAGAUAAAGAAAAAAGAGUUAGAGAGACUCCUGUGUGUUAUUUUUCUGUGGGGUUGAGACAAACUUUUUACAAUGGGUAAAACACAGAUAAUUAUAGUCAUAAUUUAUGUAAUUAAAGGACUGAUUUCGCAUUACUAAGAUGCCUUGACCCGGAACCAGUAGGGGACUGAUCACCCCAGGGAAAUUCCCUGGCCUCAACCUCCUCACAAAACGAGUGAGAUGGAGGACCUCUGGUCGGGCUUGGGUUGACUCAGCAUUGCGAUCUCAAGAACAAACUAUGAGAGUCUGAAAAUAGAAACAUAACUAACCCUAGUGUGAAGAAUAAGAUAAAGGUAAUUUAAAAGGUUUCAAGAUCAGCUAGAGGUAUUAAGAGAAAUACAUAAAAUAACUUACAAAUGGGAAAAAGUGCGUCAAAAUCAGAAGACGAACAUGAUAAUGGCAAUGAGAGGUGGUUUAAAAUGUCUACAACAAGAAGAAAAUUGUAAACACAGAUUUGAAAAUGUUUUUGCAUUAUUGGUUGCGCCAAACAGAGCAAAGCUUACGUUAAUGGCGGCAAGAAAGCCAAUGAUUUUUGUUUUGUUUUGUUUUGUUUUGUGUGACUUUGGUGCCUGCUGAGCAGUAAUCAGAGAAUUAGAUGCCCAGAACAGUAAGGUUUUAAGAAGAAAGAUACAUCUAAAAGCAGAGUCUGAAACAGGAGAGAUAUUUAAAAUACAGAUUAUGUUUCAAAAACAUGCCCUACAAACUUAUUAGGAAGAGAUGUGAUGUGGGUUGGGCAUUGGAAUUGUUCCAACAGUACAUGGGUUUUAGAAUAAAUUAAACAAUGGUGUCCCAAAAUAUUAUUAUGUAUAGAAUAUACACUGUUUAGUCCCAAAAAAGAUUUAAAGAGAAAUGUAAGCCUGUCACACUAACUACAUUAACCUAGACUGAUGCAUUGGACUAACACAGGCUGGGUGGGGGCUGAGUGCUGUUCCACCAGAUAAGAAGACCUGUAAACAACAUACCCUGGCGUUGUUAACAUUUUUAGCAGAAACAAGGCCACAAAAUUAGCAACUGUGGUCCACUAAAGUAAAGCUAUCUUUAAAAAAAAGCACCUCAAAGAAAUAACAAAGAAAUAAAUAAUGUCUUAGCACAUCAAUGACACGACAAGCCAUUCGUACAAGCAAUGUAGACUGUUAAAAAGGUUAUAUGACAUCUGUGUUAAUGCAUAAGUGGGGACUUAAAGUUGAGACCAGUGGCAUACUAUUCCACACGGCUAGAUCCAGUAGCCCAAGCAAUGUCUGAAUGUUUACAAGCAGUAGUGGCUGCAGCCUUGGCGGUGCAGGCCUCUGCUCCUAUUGUACUAAACAGACACUUACACUGAAAGUUCCACAUGCUUACUUUUUUUUUUUUUUUUGCUCUCGCAGCCUCAUAUCAAUAUUGACAAUAUUGCGCUUUGCGCACACAUGCAAAAGACCCGGUUUCAUUGGAAAACCACAAAGCAGACAAGGCCUGCAACAACCAUCUGACACACACACUUGCAAAAGACCCGGUUUCAUUGGAAAACAACAAAGCAGACAAGGCCACUAACCAGGCCGCACUGCAACAACCAUCUGACACACACACAUGCAAAAGACCCGGUUUCAUUGGAAAACCACAAAGCAGACAAGGCCACUAACCAGGCCGCACUACAACAACUAUCUGACACGUACACAAUUGAAGAAUUAGAUCUCACAAUACUAAAAGAUAUGCUGCAAUAUUGAGCCAUGGUGAAAACAUGCCUCAAUAAGUGGGGAUAGUAAGCAUAUAUUUUACUUCUUAUUUAUAUUUUAUGAGAAAGAUGUUUAAUCAUUCAUUAUUGAUUUUAUGAAAUCCAAACUAUUAAAAGCAAAUUGAGAAUCUAAGAGUGAAAUUAAGCAUGCAUGUUGUUAUCACUGUUUGAAAUGAUGUAUGGAAGAAUCUACACUGCCUAAACUCUCAAACCAUUUGCUGAAACAGACAAAGAGAUUGAUAUACAUUUGCAGAAUACAGUAUAUGGCAAAAAUGUGAAUUAGCAAAAUGCUCUCAGAACUCUCUACUUCACAGGAACCUGUGAGGCUGAAACCAAGGUUGGGCCAGGAGAUUGGGUCCUAAUCAACAGCCUCAAAAGAAAACACUGCCACUCGCCCAAGUGGGACAGACCAUACCAAGUGCUACUGUCAACAUCUACCACAGUCAAAAUAGCGGAGAGAGCCACCUGGAUACAUCUAACACAGGGGUUUUCAACCGGGGGUCCGCGGCCGCCUGGUGGUCCGCGACGGCAUUGCAGGGGGUCCGCGACAUGAGCCUAUGUUGAUCAGUUCACCAUUUACUUUUUUUAUUUUUAUAAAUUCGCUUUGAUAUUUCAACACAUUUCCAGAUUACUCUUGAAUAUCGUGAAAAAUAUGUAAAAUAAGAAAAAUAUGUCUAAAGGAGAUUCACGCUGACAGAAUGUAGGGGCACUGCACCUAUUCAGUCUAUGGUAGCCUGUGCUUUGCUAAUGUUAAUGUAGAAUGUUUUGGGAAUCACUGGUACAUCAGUGGGCCGCGGAUUACUUUCUUGUCAGAAUGGUGGUCCCUGGGACAAAACCAGUUGAAAACCCCUGAUCUAACACAUUGUAAACGAGUAAGCCUGCCUUAGAAAGAGACAGAGAAUAGGAGCUGUUUUCCUCUACAGUUUUCCAAAUUCGGCCCACUGUGACAGAAGUCCAGCUACAAAGGGGAUUCUUUGCCUUUGGCAAUUUUUCGUCUCAAACCUGGUGAAGAAAACAACACUGUCCAGUGGGGUGGAGGAGCCUAGUAGAGACUGGGAGGGCGGGGCGGUUCUAUCUCUGUGAAGUCAUGGGGAGUCAAGGGAAAAAUGAAACAAUGUGUGGAACUUUUGAUAAUAACUGCACUACUCUACAUUUUGGUACUGUUAACUUAUUGAUCACAAUAGGCACUGGUCUUGGUCAAAUGUCCACGAUGUGGCCUACCUAAAGAUCAUCCAUGGUGGAAAUGGGUGAACCAGACUGCCCAAACACACUUUCCACGAAGAGACUGUUUACAUUUUCCUGGCCAGUAAUAUUCAACAGCCGAUGUGAUCUGCAGAAUGCCUGAUGGGGAACAGGGCCUUCAAGGACAAAGCAAAGAAACCUUGUUUGAAUGUUAUCUGAAGCCUAGGCGAGCUAAUGACACACACACGACACCCACUAUGUUGGCCUACAAAUGCAAAGUAUACAAAUGUAUGAUGAGAAAUAUGAUGAUUGACUUAUGAUGAUAUGGAGUGAUGCUCAGUAAUGACCUCUGUUCGGAACAUCCAUGUGAUGAAGCUCAGAGUGAUGAUUUUGAGGUUAUCCAUUGAAAUUGAUAAUUGACGAAUUAAGAAAGAUGAUUUGUGAUAUUGAUUUUGAAUUAUCCAUUGAAACUGAUAAAACGAUAAAAGACUGAUGGAGAUAAUUUCCAAACACUGUUAAUGACUUAAGAAUAUAAUAAUCAAGUACCUUGUAUUAUUAAUUACCUUAUAUGAAUCCUGUACUUAUGUAAGUAGGAACAUGGCUUUUCUGUGUUUCUGCGUGUGUGCAGCUUAAAAUAUUAGGUGCCACUUAGUCUGCAUAUCUACAAGAGCAUGUUUAGACCAGAGGUGAUACGCUUCUUCCGACCUUGCAAAACUUCCAUCCUUGCCUCGGACGUCAGAGAUCCACCACGUGGUUAUCCCUGCUGAAAACUAAACUUCUGUCUAAAUAAACCUUGUGCGAUGUGUUUAUCCUUGCUUCACUAGCCUUGUGCUGGGAGUGAGCCCAAUUGCAAUUGUUGUUUGUCUAAUAAAUAUACUUAUAUGCAGCUCCGGAGUCCUGAGGUAACUAGGCUGAAUUUUCACCUAACAAAGACAUUCCUGGAAAACACCCGAUUUUCAUUAAACUCGGUGCAAAGGUGUAGCAUGGGCAAGGGAACAACCCGUUACAUUUGGGAGCGGAUCAUCUGACUCACAGGGCGCCCCCACCAGUGGUUAACACGUUUAGUUUCCCCUACCUUGCGAGAUACCGCAUACGGAGGUGUGCGCUCUACUGAAUGCCAAUCUAGUUGGUAAAACGGUCCUGUUAAAGAAUCAACCUUCAGAGGUUAAGACACAUGGACACUUGCUAAAUACAUAACUUGCUGAAAACCAUAGAGUUGUUUCAUUAUCACGUCUAUCACACAGGCUUAAUCUUUCCACUGCAAGCAUGUAGAAACACAUCGCUAUCAAAAUGAAAUUCACAUCGUACAUGUGCGUUGGAAUUAUUAAUUUCGCACUAUUGCACAUUGUUUUUUAUAGGUGAAAUCCAAAUCCCACACGUUGUGAAAGACAAUGUCAUAAAGAGAGCGUAAACAGGCGAAAGUAAAAGCAAUACAAAUAGAACUAGAAGUAUCAUGUGUUAUUUAUUACAAUAAAAAACACUGUUCUCAACACACAGAAAAACAACAUAUAUACAGAACACUUGCCUACACUUUCAAUUCUUUCAAAAGACAUCUUUAACUGCUCCACACGGCAAAGAUUCACACUUACAAAUUCAAGAGAACAUGGUUCAUGCUACACGUUUCAAAAUUCAAUAGAAUAUGACUGUAGAACUACAUCUAUGAUAACACAUCAGUCCACCAGUCAACAUGCUAAGCAAACACUUUCAAACCUCACACACUUGUGUAUCAAUGUUACCAUUUUCACACUGGGUACAAAACUACAAAAAAGAUUUAUGAAGUAGGCUAUUUUCUUUGUUUCUUUGCAUAUUGUUUAUAUAUUUUGUAUUGUACAUUAAUGUCCCUCUUAAAUUCAAGAAUGUCCUUUGGCGUCUCUGGACAUCAGCAAUGACAAGAUUAGUCUGGGCUCAUGGCUUGUAUAUAUCCACUUCACUCACACGCUCAACACUGACCUCCUCAGCAGGUUUUUUCGACAUUGUCUGUGUAAAUGCAAAAAAAAAACAUUUUCUCAUUUCGUUUGGAUGGCUUAUUUUGUGCAUCAGCUGGACUCUUAAUGGUGCAGAAAAUGAUGUCAAUUGUCAGAGGCAGUUUUACAACACAAUCUUUCACAGUGCAUAACACAUCUUUACCUGGAAGCCAUCAUCUUGCUCCAGAAGAGCUUUAAUUCGUAUGUGAGGUCUUGGAAUUGGUGGGAACAGAAUCCUAAACAAAUAUGAUUUCAUUAAGUAGGGCACUCCAAACAAAAGCACCACCAGAUAUCUCA